AUUCCAUGAUGAGGAAACUUCCUUAACAACUCCUUGAAGCGCUCCCAUGCAUCAUACAAAGACUCCUCGUCAUUCUGGUGGAAAUUAUUAAUUUUGCCUCUCAACUU